UGGAAAAAUUCCGGCCACCUCGACUGUUUUAGGUGAUCGAUGGAUUUAUUUGGCGGACGAUUCGUGAGAUUGUUAAUUGAGCUGUUAAGAAGACGCAGCUGGAUCAGAGCGGAUAAUCCUACAGGACUGGAGAAUUCAGGAAGGUGAUCGAACCGUGUAGAGUAGCUGCUUUGUAAUACUCUGAUUUUCAGUUGUGAGGUUUGUUAUGCUCAUUAGAGCUUUACAAUUUACUUUGUACGAGUGAGUUGUAAUAAUUAACUCGAGGUCUUCGAGUUUUGAAUUUGAGCGUGAGUGGCGAGGUUGUUUCUGAGAAAAAAAAAUUCAGAACGUUUAUUUGUUUAAGUUGUUUAAUUCA